rnacentral:rRNA from 1 species
CGGUAAUACCAGCUCGCCGAGUGGUAGGGGUGAUUAUUGGGCUUAAAGCGUCCGUAGCCGGCCUGGCAAGUCUUCCGUUAAAUCCAGCAACCUAAUUGUUGGGCUGCGGGGGAUACUGUUAGGCUAGGGGGCGGGAGAGGCCGACGGUAUUCUCGGGGUAGGGGUGAAAUCUUAUAAUCCCGGGAGGACCACCAGUGGCGAAGGCUGUCGGCUAGAACGCG